AGGGUUGUGGCUCAGUGGCAGAGCACUUGCCUAGCAUGUAUGAGGCACUGAGUUCUAUCCUCAGCACCACAG
rnacentral:tRNA from 1 species